GAUGAAGAACGUAGCGAACUGCGAUAAGUAAUGUGAAUUGCAGAAUUCAGUGAAUCAUCGAGUCUUUGAACGCACAUUGCGCCCCCUGGCAUUCCGGGGGGCAUGCCUGUCCGAGCGUCAUUGCUGCCCUUCAAGCCCGGCUUGUGUGUUGGGUCGUCGUCCCCCCCGGGGGACGGGCCCGAAAGGCAGCGGCGGCAUCGCGUCCGGUCCUCGAGCGUAUGGGGCUUUGUCACCCGCUCGAUUAGGGCCGGCCGGGCGCCAGCCGGCGUCUCCAACCUUCUAUUUUACCAGGUUGACCUCGGAUCAGGUAGGGAUACCCGCUGAACUUAAGCAUAUCAAUAAGCGGAGGA
rnacentral:misc_RNA from 1 species